rnacentral:SRP_RNA from 1 species
CGUCGGUCCCCUCGCAACGGAAACUUGUGAACCUGGUCAGGCCCGGAAGGGAGCAGCCACAGCAAGCGGAUCGUGUGCCGAGGUGUGGCUGGCGGGG